GGGGCCUCCGUGCGUUUCUCGCCGCUCAAGCGUCGAGCAGGCUGUUGGUGUAAAGUCGGAGGCGGCUCUUGUAAAAAUCCAGGUGACGGAGAUGCCGAAAGCAGGAUUAACGAGCGCGGAGGAGCUCCGAGCUCCCUGCCAGGCAGGGGCAUGAAUACCACACGCGCUUGGUGGUGUUGCAGUCCUCGCGUACCUGAAGAGUUGGUGUCUCGGUGUAUACAGAGUUGUGCCGGCUGCUUUUUAAGGACUAAGACGAGCCCUUAUGUCUCCUCAUUGCCCACGUAGCUAACUCGGUAAGAAGGAAGAUUUGCCAAACAGGUUGUAGUUGCCACACUGAGGUCACACGGCAUGUGGUGUUGGUGGCCGUAUCACCUCCAAACUGGGGUAUCGUGGACACUGCUGAGAAGCGCAAGGCGAUAGCUAGUAAUUUCAGGCCAAAGUCUACGUGGUUCAGGGUAGCUUAAUGUGGCCUUAGCUAGUCGUUUUAUUUUCGUAAUUAAAAUACGUAUUACGUGGCAAGACUCACUCUAUCAUAGUAAUCAGGUUUACAAGGGUGUAAAUUGAUAUGAAAACUCUAUAUUAUAUUACAGAACUUGAUGUCUGAACCAGGAAGAGUCUUUCACAAUCCCUUUUUCUAUUCAAACUGCAUUUACCUGAUUGCUGGCUAACAGGUCUCUACGUCAGAUCACAACUGCUCUCAGUGAACUCGGAACAUGAGAGAAGAGAAAAAGGAAGCUUCUCAUUCUCGCAAAUGGAUCUCUUAAGCAUGAAGCUGAUGCGAUGCCAGCAGAAUGUUAGUGGCUACAUCCGCUGGUAUUCUUUUGACUUUUGAGAAGUACAACUCUCAAUUGAGUUCAGCUGUCCUGCACCCACAAAGCUAUGGUUGAGAACCACUAGAACUCCCCCAUCUCUUGCAGUAGCAGUAAUGUAUGUGCCUCUCCCCAUGAUGCAGUGUGGAACAGCAAUGCUGAAUGAAGCACUGGCCUUUUUUGUUUCAUUUACCAGGGAGGGACUUGGACAACACAGUGGUCAACUUGCUGAUUGCUGGUACGCUUUACUGCUCCAAACUGUGCUAAGUCCAGUAAGGUAGAACUGAUAUGUUUUAAGUAAUGCCUCAGUGCAAACAAGGCCUUGAAGGUGAGUGUCUCUUUAUGUGUACUGUUAUAACAUGAGAUGGGUCUCAUUAAUUCCGAGAUAAUACUAACGGCAGGGAAUCUUCAUUGACUAUAGUAUUUGUUAGCCUUUUCCAGACUCCUUGGUCAUUUUCCUAGAGCAAUGACUCAUCACUUCAUCACUGUGCUGAUUACAUUAAAUUGUUAUUACUAUUAUUUCAAUAUAAGUAACAUAAUGCUUAUGCUAAUUCACUUUGUGCACAACUGUCAGAAUUCUUGAAACAGCCGUCAAUUGAAAGCAUCCUACAUGAGCAUUUCAGCAUUAUUUAGACUUUUCCUGAUUAUUCUAUUCAUAUUUAUGAUAUUUAACUCUGUUCAGUGAUGAUUUUCAAUAUAGUAUGUGAAAACUCAGAGCAAAUGGUCAGACAUUUUUGUGAAACCAUUGGUAUUGUUUGAAGGGAAAUCAGGACAUAACGUGACUACUCUUCAGUUUUUACUAAAAUUCAGCCUUUUUUCUUCAGAUCUAAUCUAAAAUUCAGAUUUUUUUUCGUACAGAACAGGCCAAAGAGUAAUGUUGGGGUGGGAGUAUCAGGGAAGACUUCCCCAAAAGGAAAAGUCUGCUUUUUUGAAACAUUGAACACGGAUGAUAAAAUGAUGCUGUUAGAUUUUUUUUAUUUCUUUUUUUUUAACAGUAGCAGAACAAAAAUCAAAUGUUGAGAGAUCUUAUGUUUGCACUUAUUUUAUUAAGCAGUUAGUUGUAUACAACUCCAAAAGAGUCUUCAGUUUCAAGGCUGCCUCUGAACUCUGUGCCCUGAAGAAAAGGAAGGCUUCAAAAUGUGGUUUCUGGUAUAUCCAACAUUAAAAAAACCCCAACCUUAUCAUCCUUCUUGCCUGCUUUUUCUUUGUAAUAGAAUGAAUUUGAAAACAUGAAAAAACACAGCAUAGCAUAAUAACGAAGGGACAGUACCAAGGUCUGACCUUGGUGGGGUUAUUCAUGUGCUUGAAGUUACACAAGUACUUUGUUCUGCCCAUAUGUGGAAUGCAAGCAAGCUCACCACAGUAACUGGCGUGAGUGAAGAAAGACUGGACAUUUAAAAAUGAGAUUAUUCCAUCUGUCUUAGCGUAUUUUGUAUGUCAUUUCACAUUUGCUACCUAAAGACCAGCUUCUGCUAUCUUUGUUCAUCAUAUGCUGAGAACACCACGGCUGCAUGGAAAAGGUGAAAAUUCAGAAAAAAUUGAGAACAUUGGCUAUUGUUCUGAUAGCAUUAAUCCCUUUCAUAUUUUGCUUCUUUGCAUGUAUUCUGUAUCGUCCGAACUAAAUUACUGUAGAUUCUCCUAGGAAAGUAUCACUGAAUGUCGUGUGAUUUAAAUAUAGCUAGAGACUGCAAGGGGCCUUUCUAGAGAGUGGGUCACUGUGCAUUGCACUUUCUGGAGCUGUUGAAAGGUGCAGAGACCAGAAGCUGUUGAUCUAGCCUGACACCUUCAGAAUAAACACUGUGUUCAAAAUGCCUUCAUCCUUCUCUUACGAGAAUACAAGCACCUACUCCUUUUGCGAGAGGACUGCCCUCGCACUUCGGAUCUUUUUUCUUCACCUCAACCAUCACAGCGGCGAAGCGUGCUCUCCUGGCAGCGGGGCAGGACGCCAGCAGUGGCUGCUGGAGGUUCCCAGCAGCCUCUUCCAGGCCCUCAGUCCAUCACUGCCCGCUAGUGACGUGACGGUACCAUCUGGCGCCGAGUUGGAAUUGCACAAUCCAUUUGCUGUCAGGGUGCAUCAAUAACCUGCAACGUUCAAAAGGUUCAGCGCUCUUUGACAACAGGCGUGUCUGCGAGGGUGUUUAUUUUCAAACCUCUCUGGGGUGAGAGGAGAUGCUUUUGGGUCUGGGAAACUGUGUGUUGCGUUCAAGAACCAAAUCAUGAUGAUCUGUCCAUAGAUAAUUCACGUUGCAAUUCUGGUUUUAAGAUACCUAAGGAAUAUAUGUAAUGAAUAUAAAACUAAAGUUGUUUCUUUUCUGAGAGGGCACUGUGGCUGAAUGGAAACCAUGGUAACUAGGAUGGCAUAUGCUGGUACCUUGUUCCUGAGUGAUAAAAAUGCACAUAGAGUAGGCUUUGAGCUUAGCAACAAAACCUAAUCAACCAAGUUUUCAAAUAGCCCUCCCUCCAGCCCUCUAUUGCAGCUGCCACCCUUGUCCCAUGCAGUAUGUAUGCCCAGUCUUUGUACUUUCAUGUUCACUAAUCCAUCCUCUAGGCAAGCAAUAAGCAACACAAAAUACAUUUGACACAAAAGAAAACAAUUUAUUCUUGUUGGCCGUUGCUUUAGAAGAAUACACAACUCAAAUCUCCUUCCCUGUAGAGCUGUUGUGAAGUAUGACUCAUCCUUGGCCAACAUGUUGCACGUUCACUUUAAUUAGAAUAUGUGCAUCUAAAGAUUGUUGUAAACACUUAUUGUUAAUAGCAAAUUGCUCCCUGGUAUACAAUGGGAAGUAGAAGCAAUUUUAACACAUUUAAUACAUUAAGCUGUACAUUUUAAGUCAUGUUGGGGCACCACACUGACAAAAAUUAAUUAGGGAGAUUCUCUAAUUAGCAUACAUUGGCUGCCAUACAAAUCAUGUUGGCAUGAAAAAUGGGAAUAAUGCAAAUUGUACUCUACAGUGAUGAUUAAAUAUUUUCUAAACACUAAACAAUAUUAUACAAAUCUUUGAUACCUACCCUGUGUGGCAAAUCUGGAUAAGGAUCCAAUUUAUUUAUAAUGAGUGAAAAGAGAUGAAAGUAUUGCUGCUUUCUAGUUGUUGAUGGUACACAUUAAAAAGGCUGACUUUCAUAGAAUCAUAGAAUAGUUUGGGUUGGAAAGGACCUUAAAGAUCACCUAGUUCCAACCCCUUGCCAUGGGCAGGGACACCUUCCACUAGACCAGGUUGCUCAAAGCCCCAUCCAACCUGGCCUUGAACACUGCCAGGGAUGGGGCAUCCACAGCCUCUCUGGGCAACCUGUUCCAGUGCCUCACCACCCUCACAGGGAAGAACUUCUUCCUUACAGCUAAUCUAAAUCAACCCUCUUUCAGUUUAAAGCCAUUACCCCUUGUCCUACCACUACAUGCCCUUGUAAAAAGUCCCUCUCUGGCUUUCCUGCAGGCCCCCUUUAGGUACUGGAAGGCUGCAGUAAGGUCUCCCCCAAUCCUCUUCUCCAGGCUGAACAACCCCAACUCUCUCAGCCUGUCUUCAUAGGAGAGGUGCUCCAGCCCUCUGAUCAUCUUCGUGGCCCUCCUCUGGGCUCGCUCCAACAGGUCCAACAGGUCCAUGUCUUCCUUAUGUUGGUGUCCCCAGAGCUGAACACAGUACGCCAGGUGCGGUCUCGCAAGAGUGGAGUAGAGGGAGAGAAUCGCCUCCCUUGACCUGCUGGUCACGCUUUUCCAUCUCACAUGCAGAUGCUUUCCUUAGUACAGACAGGUAAAACACCUUCAUACUUACCUGGAGUCUAACUGACCCACGCAACAGAGCCAGUAUCUGACACAGCACAAGUUGAUGAUCCAGAGAUUUUACAGUCUCUCUCAGGAGACUGUAAAAAAGAACAAUCUCCACAUGUA